GGCUGAUCAGUGGUUAAAGAGAGCACUUUGCAAGUCAAAUCAGAUACAGUGUCACCAAAAAAAGAAACCACUCUCGUUUUCUUGGGGUUGCAAACAUGACUGAUUCCAUUUACUGCCUCAUCUCCAACAAUAAGCACUCUUUGCAUACCUUUCGUUUUCCUGGUGGUCACUUUGUUCUUCGGAGCUUUGGGGGGUGGAUGCAUUGGUUUAGCCUCAUUGUUGAUGUUUGAAAGUAGGUUUUCACUCAGAGGCUCAGGCUGGAGUGCAGAAAAUCUGUUUUUCAGUGGGAUUCCCACGGAGUCAGAAUGUUUUGAGGCUUGGGCUGGUCGCUUUGUCCUUGGGAGCUGGGUCGGUGUUGAAGUUGAAGGUGGGUUUCGGCUCAGAGCCGGCCACGCUGAUUCGUCCAGGUGAGGGGUUCUUCCCGUUAGUCGUCUCAUGGGAUCUGCAGUGUGAGACUUUUGUUUCAGCUUGACGCCCUGAGUGAUCCAGGGUGAGCUGCUUGGUGCGGGGCGUAUGACCUCUCAGCUGAUUUGAGGAAGAGUUGUUUCAUUUCCACAGGUAGCGUUGAUCUCAAAGUUCACCUCCAGCCGUUGAAUCUUCGUUUCUAAAAACUGAAGUCGUUG